AUUGAACGCUGGCGGCAUGCUUUACACAUGCAAGUCGAACGGCAGCGCGGGCUUCGGCCUGGCGGCGCGUGGCGAACGGGUGAGUAAUUCAUCGGAACGUGCCCAGUCGUGGGGGAUAGCUCGGCGAAAGCCGGAUUAAUACCGCAUACGACCUGAGGGUGAAAGCGGGGGAUCUUUGGACCUCGCGCUAUUGGAGCGGCCGAUGGCAGAUUAGCUAGUUGGUGGGGUAAAGGCCUACCAAGGCGACGGACUGUAGCUGGUCUGAGAGGACGACCAGCCAACAUGGGACUGGGGCACGGCCCAGACUCCUACGGGAGGCAGCAGUGGGGAAAUUUGGACAAUGGGCGGAAGCCUGAUCCAGCAAUGCCGCGUGUGUGAUGAAGGCCUUCGGGUUGUAAAGCACUUGUGGCGGGAACGAAAAGGACUGUGCCAAUACCACGGUUCGAUGACGGUACCCUCAGAAUAAGCACCGGCUAACUACGUG
rnacentral:rRNA from 1 species